rnacentral:rRNA from 1 species
GAUGAACGCUGGCGGCGUGCCUAAUACAUGCAAGUCGAGCGAACAGACGAGGAGCUUGCUCCUCGGACGUUUUCGGCGGAGGUGUGAGUAACACGGGUAUAACCUACGUAUAAGGCUGGGAUAAAUUCGGGAAGCUGGAUCUAAUACCGUAUAAUAUAUUGAACCGUAUGGUUCAAUAGUAAAGUACAGUUUUGUUGCUACUUAUUGAUGGAUCGGCGUCUAAUUAGCUAGUUGGUAAGGUAACUGCUCACAAAGGCAACGAUGCGUAGCCGCCCUGAGAGGGGGAUCGGCCAACCUGGAACUGAGAAACGGCCCAGACUCCUACGGGAGGAAGAAGAAGGGAAUUUUCCGCAAUGGGCGAAAGCCGGACGGAGCAACGCCGCGUGAGUGAUGAAGGUCUUGGGAUCGUAAAACUCUGUUAUUAGGGAAGAACAAAUGUGUAAGUAAAUAUGCACGCCUUGACGGUACCUAAUCAGAAAGCCACGGCUAACUACGUG